ACUGCUCAGUAACACGUGGAUAACCUGCCCUUGGGUUCGGCAUAACCCCGGGAAACUGGGGAUAAUUCCGGAUAACGCACAUAUGCUGGAAUGCUUUAUGCGUAAAAUGGAUUCGUCUGCCCAAGGAUGGAUCUGCGGCCUAUCAGGUAGUAGUGGGUGUAAUGUACCUACUAGCCAACAACGGGUACGGGUUGUGAGAGCAAGAGCCCGGAGAUGGAUUCUGAGACAUGAAUCCAGGCCCUACGGGGCGCAGCAGGCGCGAAAACUUUACAAUGCGGGAAACCGUGAUAAGGGGACACCGAGUGCCAGCAUCAUAUGCUGGCUGUCCGGGUGUGUAAAAUACACCCGUUAGCAAGGGCCGGGCAAGACCGGUGCCAGCCGCCGCGGUAACACCGGCGGCCCGAGUGGUGAUCGUGAUUAUUGGGUCUAAAGGGUCCGUAGCCGGUUUGGUCAGUCCUCCGGGAAAUCUGACGGCUCAACCGUUAGGCUUUCGGGGGAUACUGCCAGGCUUGGAACCGGGAGAGGUAAGAGGUACUACAGGGGUAGGAGUGAAAUCUUGUAAUCCCUGUGAGACCACCUGUGGCGAAGGCGUCUUACCAGAACGGGUUCGACGGUGAGGGACGAAAGCUGGGGGCACGAACCGGAUUAGAUACCCGGGUAGUCCCAGCCGUAAACGAUGCUCGCUAGGUGUCAGGCAUGGCGCGACCGUGUCUGGUGCCGCAGGGAAGCCGUGAAGCGAGCCACCUGGGAAGUACGGCCGCAAGGCUGAAACUUAAAGGAAUUGGCGGGGGAGCACA
rnacentral:rRNA from 1 species